rnacentral:lncRNA from 1 species
CCAUCUUCAACUAGCUAGCUCCGUGCAGCCUAGGGGAUCAAAGCUGUGUGACCCGUGCUGGCUGGAGUAGGCGUCCUUGCUCUUUGGGGCCAGAGCCUGCGCUUGGGAAGCAACUGUGCUCCAGGCUCCUGUCCUUGGCCUGGAUGAACCGUCAGAAGUGGGGGAGGCCAGAACAUCCCUGUGAACCUGUGGAGUGCUAGAACCGGCGAGGGCUGAUUGCACCAUAUUUGGGACACGAUUCAUAUUUGGGGACCGCCUUACCUCCACCAUCUCCCUCAUAGACUCUGUUCCACGCAUAGGUAAAUCAGGAAGAUGUCGGAGCCCAUGGCCAUGAACCUGCUGGAGGAUUGGUGCCGGGGCAUGGGAAUGGACAUCCACAGGUCCCUGCUGGUCACUGGUAUCCCUGAGCACUGUGGCCAUGCAGAAAUCGAGGAGACCUUGAAUGGGGUCCUCUUGCCACUGGGCACAUACCGUAUACUCAACAAAAUGUUUUUGAGGCAAGAGAAUGUGAAGGCUGCUCUAGUUGAGGUUAGCGAGGGUGUGAAUCUAAGCUCCGUACCCCGGGAGUUCCCAGGGAGGGGC